rnacentral:rRNA from 2 species
AAUGAACACAAAUUUGAUCACUUUGGCAAUCUGUACACAUUGCUGUGUAACAAUUUGUAUACGUUGGCACAGUGCUAUCAAAGCUGCAUGCAAGUGUUUUUUUGAAAGGAUACAACAUGGGAUGUGAUAUUCAUGUGUGUGUGCCUGCUUUGUCCACAGCCUGUGCUGUAUGAAUCACAUUUCUUGCAACUGAAAUGCUAAUGGCAUGGUAAAGUUCAUGUGACAUGACACAAGCUUGAGAUUCAUGAUGUGCAAGUACCAUGAGGGAAAUGUGAAAAGGACUUUGGAAAGAGAAUUAAAUAAAGCCUGCAUUUGCUGACAAUGAAAGCAAGUGUGGAUGUUCAUGUAAUUGUUACUGCAUCAAUCAAUGUUCAUCUUGGUUACUGCAUGCUUUAUAUUACAGCUCAGAACAUGAAGUGUGUGUAACAGCUCUGCUUUGAUUUUUCCCACAUGGGAUCAGUUGAAACAUUGUGAGAGCACUCUUCAGUUUCCUUAUGUAUCCACCAGCUUUGUCCACUCGCGUGUUGGCACACAUGUAAUGAUGAUGUGUUUAUGCAAGAUACUUCUGUGCUCAACAACAUGUUGUGUCAAUCCUCACUUGACCCGUCUUGAAACACGGACCAAGGAGUCUGGCAAGUGUGCAAACCAACUUUCUGUAAAGAUUUGUAUGUAAUGAACAUGUUUGUAUCAUUAUUGCACCACCAAUCAAUAUUCAGCUCGUUGCUUAUUUGAAUGUGAGCAUUGUUGCUAGGACCCGAAAGAUGGUGAACUAUGCUUGCAUAACAUGAGUUCAGAGGAAACUCUGAUGGAAGUUUGUAUCGGUACUGACGUGCAAAUCGUUCGUCACAACUGGGUAUAGGGGCGAAAGACUAAUCGAACCAUCUAGUAGCUGGUUCCUCCCGAAGUUUCCCUCAGGAUAGUUGGGAUUUGUUCAGUUAUAUUAUUUAAAGCGAAUGUUUAAAGGAAUUGGGGGCUUGUUUGCCUUUGACCUAUUCUCAAACUUUUAAUGUGUAUUAUUGCUGGAAUAACACAGAGUAUUGCAUGCAAUGAAAAAAUCAAGUGGGCCAUUUUUGGUAAGCAGAACUGGCGAUGAGGGAUGAACCUAAUAGUGGGUAAACAUGCUUAAUUUCCUGCCUAUGUGAUACCAGAAAGGGUGUUGGUUCAU